AGGGUUCUUGAAGCGCGCGGCGCGCCGCUCGCGGAACGCAGCCGGAUGGAGCAGCGCAGGCAGCGGCGGGAGUCCAGCAGCCGGAGGGUCGUGUUCACCGGGUGACGCGGUCCAGACCCGACCGACCGACCGACCGACCGACCGACGGACCGACCGACGGCGGGACCCGACGAGACGAAGGAAUGGAUCCUCACCUGGGACGAGGCUGGACGAGGCUGCUGCGCGUGUCGAGUCUGUACUUUGUGCUGAUUUAUCAAGCGCAUCUCUCCUGGGGCGUGGAGAGGGUGAACGUCUCUGGAUGGGGUGAAAUCAAUAACAGCGGGAGCAGCGGGAUAAAGCAGCAGAAAUGGGACACCGCUUCCCAGGGAGGGCAGGACGUCCAGACAACAGCUGCUGUGUUAGGAACCAACACGUCUUCCUCAAGUGGUUCAGCGGUCGACCGGACCGACGCGUCCAACCUGGCCUCCUCCAGCGCAGAGAGGACCCUCAGCUCUGACCGAUCAUCUGCAGCCAUAGCACCAGCCAGUCAAACGCCACCAUCGCGUCGAUCACGCACCAACCCAGCGCCAUCCGACAAAUCGCCUAUCAACACGGCGUCAGCCAGCCAAUCCCCAGCAACCGUUGCACCAGGCACCACAGCACCAUCCGUUCGGUCUCCGUCAAAGAUAGGGCUCUCUAGCCAAUCAGCAAGCAGGUCGACGCCAACCAGCCAAUCGCCAACAAGCACAGGAUCGGCCGGCCAAAUACUAUCCAGUCAUUCACCAACCAGAACAGAAGAAUCUAGCCUGUCACCAACCACUACAGUACCAAGCAGCCAAUCACCUACCUCUGCAGUACGAGCCAGCCAAUCACCAACUACCACAACACCAGCUAGCCAAUCACCAACAACCACAACACCAAACAGCCAAUCAACACCAACCACAACACCUGCCAGCCAACCACCAACAGUCGUAGCACCAGCCAGUCAGCCGCCAAAGACCUUAUUGGACCAUUCAGCAGGCAGCACAGUGAAACCUAGCCAAUCAACAACUGGCUCGAAAGCAUCCGCCCAAUCACCGCUCGCCUCAUCAUCUCCUCAUCAACCGUCACCCACCGUAAUACCAGCCGAUCAAUCCAUACCCAGCUCAGAAACGUCACACGGCUCCUCAUACAGCUCGACGUCUCGUAACCAAUCGCUGUCAAGUGAGACGCCCCGUGACCAAUCCCUGACCAGCUCUGACCCAUCGAACCGCUCGCCAGUCGGCGGAGGCUUCUCCCCGGACGAGCGUCCAGUUAAUAUUUCACUCCUCACCAGGCAGGUGAAGGAAGCCCUGAGGUCGUCGCUCCGUCGGAGUCCAGCAGAGUCAUGUGUGUCUCCCUGUCUGAACGGAGGACAGUGUGUUCAGUCACAGUCAUGUGACUGCAGCUUGUAUCAGGCCACGGGACACAGAUGUCAGACGGUCCCGAAUCCCGGCUUCGAACGGGAGAUGACGUGCCGGACGUGGGGUCAGCACAACUUCGAGACCUUCGACGGCCUCUACUUCCACUUCCCCGGCCGCUGCACGUACACGCUGCUGAGGGACUGCGAGGAGACCAACCAGGCCGGCGUCGUCGUCCAGGUCCACAAUGAUCCGGGCUGCGGCUCCGCCACCUACGCCUGCCAGCGCUCAGUGAGCCUCUUCCUGCCGUGGGAGGGCGAGGUGCGGCUGCACGCCACCAACGUGACCUACAAAGGCCAAAGUUUGCAGCUGCCCCAUCACAUCCACGACCUGCAGCUGGAGCAGAUCUCGCAGUACGUGCUGGUGACGCGGCGGCACGGCUUCACGCUGGCCUGGGACGGACGCGGCGGCUCCGUCUACAUCAAGCUCAGCCCCGAGUUCGUGGGCCGGACGUGCGGCCUGUGCGGCAACUUCAACGCAGACGUGCGGGACGACCUGAGGACGAGCUACGGCGUGCUGACUAGUGAAAUAGAAAUGUUUGGGAACAGCUGGGUGGAGACGGAGCCGCACCAGGCCCCAUGUCCCAUGGUGCCGUCUGGCUUCUCUUCCCCCUGCGCUGCGGUCGAUGCUCACGUCCUGCUGAAAGUGGAAGAGGUGUGCGCGAUGCUGCUGGAUCCGCCGUUCCAGGGCUGCCACGACUUUGUCAGCCCGCUGUCCUACAUGGCCAGCUGCUCCAACGACCUCUGCACGUCGGGUCCCAGCGGUGAUGUGAUGUGCCGGGUGUUCAGUGAGUACGCCCGGGCCUGUGCCCACGCCGACCGCCCACUGCACGACUGGAGGCUGCACAUUCCUCAGUGUGCGAAGCAGUGUCCUCUAGGUCUGCAGUACAGGGAAUGCAUCAGCUGCUGCCCCGAGUCCUGCAGCCUGGAGCGGACGUGCAUCGACAGCAAGCUGGCCUGCUUGGACGGAUGCUACUGUCCGGACGGUCUGAUCUACGAGGACGGAGGCUGCGUGACGACCUCCGACUGUCCCUGCGAGUACCACGGCAUGUUUUACCCCUCCGGACAAACGCUGCAGGAGGAAUGCAACAACUGCACCUGCAUGGGCGGAGUGUGGAACUGCACCGACUACAGCUGUCCAGGCGAGUGCUCGGUCACUGGCGACAUGUAUUUCCAGUCCUUCGACGGGCGGAUCUACACGUUUCCUGCGACGUGCCAGUACGUCCUCGCCAAGAGUCGCAACUCGGGGAAGUUCACGGUCACCGUCCAGAACGCCCCCUGUGGAGCCAACCUGGACGGCGCCUGCAUCCAAUCCGUCAACCUGGUCAUUGACGAGGAUCCGCGGACGGAGAUAACGCUGAGUCACGUCGGGGACGUCUUCAUGGCCGGACAGUACCGCAUCUCCCCGCCCUAUUCCGACGACGUCUUCCAGGUCCAGGAGCUGUCGUCCAUGUUCCUCCAGGUGAGGACGGCGUUCGGCCUGCGGCUGCAGUACAACUGGAAGGAGUUCCGCCUCUACCUGCAGGCGGACGAGCGCUGGACGGACGACACGGUGGGGCUGUGCGGCACCUUCAACGGAAACAUCCAGGACGACUUCCUAUCUCCGUCAGGUAUGAUCGAGAGCACACCUCAGCUGUUCGGGAACGCCUGGAGAGUCUCGUCGGGCUGUUCCCACAUCGGCCUGAGCGCGCCGCAGCUCGACCCCUGCGACGCACACCAGCAGGCCGUGACCUACGCCUCUGGGAUGUGCGACGUGCUGAACCAGGAUCUGUUCUCCGCCUGCCACGAGUACCUCAGCCCGACGCCCUUCCAUCAGCAGUGUCGCUCGGACACCUGCAAGUGCGGGACGCCCUGCCUCUGCUCCGCCCUGGCCCACUACGCCCGCCACUGCCGCAGGUUCUCCGUCAUCGUCGACUUCCGGUCGCACGUGGCCGACUGCGCGGUCGCCUGUCCCGCCUCCAUGCAGUACGGCACCUGCGUGUCGUCCUGCCAGCGCCGUUGCUCCGCCCUCUCCGUGCCGCAGCACUGCGGCGAGGAGUGCGAGGAGGGCUGCGUCUGCCCUCAGGGAUCCUUCUACAACCACCGCACGCUCACCUGCGUGCACAGGAGCGAGUGUCCCUGCAGUUUCCUCGGAGCAGAUUACGAGCCGGGAGAUGUGAUCAUGACGUCCGCAGGUGUUCAGCUCUGUCUGAACGGGAAACUGGUGUCUCAAACAGCAGACAGUGACAGGCUGUGUCCGGCUGGUCAGCUUUACCAGAACUGCUCGGAGGGGGAGGACGGCCUCCUGCCGGGAAGGGGCGUGGCCUGUGAGCGCACCUGUGAGUCGCACCUGCUCAACCUCACCUGCUCGACACACGAGCCCUGCGUGGCUGGAUGCUCCUGCCCUCCCGGUUUGCUGAAACACGGAGACGAGUGCUUCGAACCUGCCUCCUGCCCGUGUCUGUGGAAGGGAAAGGAGUAUUACCCGGGCGACCGAGUCUCCUCCCCCUGCCACCACUGUGUUUGCCAGCACGGGACGUUCCAGUGUGUGUUUCGUCCGUGUCCGUCCAUGUGCACGGCGUACGGAGAUCGCCACUACAGGACGUUCGACGGGCUGCUGUUCGACUACGUCGGGGCAUGCAAAGUCUAUCUCGUGAAGAGCAGCGCCGACGUGAUGCUCGGCGUCGUGGCCGAGAACGUCGACUGCUUCGACGGCGGCGUCAUCUGCCGGAAGUCGCUGACGAUCAGCAUCGGGCGAUCCUCGGUGGCGUUCGACGACGACAGCGGGACGCCGAAUCCAUCCAGCGUGAUUGACAGGAAGCAGAGGAUGCUGAUCUGGCCGGCGGGACACUUCACGGUCAUUCACUUCCCCGACGACGCCGUCACCGUCCUCUGGGACCGCAAGACCACCGUGCACGUCCAGGUCGGACCUCGCUGGCAGGGGAAGCUGAGCGGCCUGUGUGGAAACUUCGACCUGAAGACGGUGAACGAGAUGCGGACGCCGGACAACAUCGACUCCCCGACGCCGCAGGAGUUUGGCAACAGCUGGACAGCGGCCGAGUGUGUGAACAGUCCAGACAUCAGACACCCCUGCAGCCUCAGUCCGCUGCGGGAGCCCUUCGCCAAGCGGCGGUGUGCCGUCCUGCUCGGCGAGGUCUUCCAGGCCUGCCACCCGGUGGUGGACGUGACCUGGUUCUACAUGAACUGCCUGGCGGACACGUGCGCCUGCAGCCGCGGAGGCGACUGCGAGUGCUUCUGCACCAGCGUGGCGGCGUACGCCCAGCGCUGCUGCCACCAGGGCGUGCCCGUCGACUGGCGCUCGCCGUCUCUGUGCCCCUACGACUGUGAAUUCUUCAACAAAGUUCUGGGUAAAGGCCCCUUCAGGCUCGUCUCCUUCGGGGAUCGCACCACGCUGUUGGCGGCCGGCAGGUCCAGCGGCUCCGUGUUCCUGCAGCGAGGAAACGUCACCUCCAUCACCUCCAUCACCUCCAUCACCUCCAGCGGCGGCGGGGACGGCGACGUCCUCUCACAGUUCAUGAUGACGCCGGGCCUCAGCAGAGCCCGACCUCACGACACGUCGCGGGUUUCCUUCGAGGCGGCCGACAGACCCAACUACUUCCUGCACGCGAGCGCCGGCGGCCGGGUGACGCUGGCCAAGUGGCAGGAGAGCGAGGCGUUCUGGGACGGGGCCACCUUCGUCCUGCACAGGAACACCUGGAUCCCCGGCUACGACUCGCUGGAGUCGCACGCGCUGCCCGGCUUCUUCCUGCACGCCACGCCGCUCCGCCUGCACCUGCUCAAGUACAGACACGGCGACGGCUUCCGCAAGGCCACGCUGUUCAGACUGACAGGCCCCGGUCCAGACGCCCCGCCCCGCCCCCAGUGUCAGUGGAGGUACGACUCCUGCGUCAGCCCGUGCUUCAGGACCUGCAGCGACCCGUCGGCCGAGGCCUGCGUCGCCAUCCCACAAGUGGAGGGCUGCCUUCCUGUCUGCCCCCCGCACAUGGUGCUGGAUGAGGUCACCCGUCGGUGUGUCCAUGUUGAGGACUGUUUCAUUACGGCGCCUGUGCAGCCUGCAACACCGUCCGCUGCUCAGACGACCUCUGCUGCUCAGACGACCUCUGCAGCUCAGACGACCUCUGCUGCUCAGACGACCUCUGCAGCUCAGACGACCUCUGCUGCUCAGACGACCUCUGCAGCUCAGACGACCUCUGCUGCUCAGACGACCUCUGCAGCCGCCACCGCCCUCCUGAGGACCACGGGCUCCACCGAACCCCCCGCUCCUCCACGCACCAGUCCCACCGCUGACAUCACCACCGCUCCCCCGCCUGUCGGCACCCAGACCACCGCCUCCAGCACGGCGCCACCCGCCCCCGCCGAGCCGACCCGACCGCUCACCGCCUCCCCUGAGCUCUCCGGGACAGCAGGACACCCGUCGUCGCCGCCCCCAACAGCGCCCUCUGCUGCCCGGCCAGAGGCGGUGGAGCCGCCGUCUACCGCCAGAGCCAGCGAAGCUCCGCCCACCACUCUAACAGCUACAACGGCGUCAGCGGCCGGGGCUCUGAGCUCCCCCCCCAGCACGUCCAGGACGAGCAGCGCUCCGUUUGCCAUCACAGCUCUGUUCUGGAUCACGACCUCCACCCGGCCCACGGACUCCCUGCUGCCGCUCGUCACCACCACUGCCACGACUCUGCAGUCAACUACACCCGCAGCGCCAACUACUACGUCCGCCAUGGUGCCGCCCACCACCAGUGCCCCUCUUCCCGUUGUCGCACACACAGCCGAGGCUUCCACAGGGGCCACGUCAGAAGCUGCUGCGCCGAUCGCAACAUCCUCGAGUCCCGCUCCGAUCUCAGAGACGUCUUCGGUUACAGGCAGAACCACUGUUCCCAGUAUGGCCACCAGUGCGUUCACAUACACCACCACAAAGCCUGUGACCGAGGAGAGGCCCCCACCGACGACGACAACCACACCGACCCCCGCUGGUUUACCAAGCACGGCGCUCACAAGCGCCCCGCCCCUCUCCACCUCGCCUCCCGUCGAAACGGGACCUGUGUCUUUGCCCGCGUCCGCUUCGGCAAAGACCACGGAGUCGGUCACGCCCGUCGCACCGCUCACCGCCAGUAGAACAACACGACACGUGAGUCCAGCGACAACCACGCAGACUGUUCGCACGACGGAGAUUCAGUACACCACCACUACUGAACUGACAACCACCACGACAACAGCACCAGAGUUACGGACAUCAACCCACCUCCACGUUGCACCGACUACAACUGUUCCCUCUGCUCCGACUUCAGCUGCUGCAGCCUGGGAAACAACAACAACAACAACAACUGGAGCAGACAAACCUGAAGCUACCGUUUCUGAAACACCUGUAGCUCCAACAACAACGACAACAACGACGUCGACGACGGCUGCACCUCCACCUCUGGAGAUCGCCGACACGACGACUCCUCCCGUGUCCACCCCGUCACCCUACACCGAGAGGACGUCCUGGUCCGCAGUCGUCCCGACCACUCAGACCACAAGACCCUCAGAAGUUCCAGGAGCGCCCACCGCGUCCACGGCUCGCCCUGUCACGACCAAACCAACCGCGCUGCCGGCGUCUCGUACAGAAACCACGACCGCGCCACUAUCGCCAACGACAGACACCUCCACCCGUCCUGCGUCCACCAUGCGGACCUCUGAGCCGUGGCGUCCCCCCCAUCAGGAGACCAGCUCCACUGUCACUUCCGAAACUGUCGUCCAUGCGGUCGAUUCCACUGAAACCACCGGAGCACCUCGUCUUCCCGUGACGACAGCGAGGCCGGUCGCCACCUCUGCGGCGUCAGCUGCUGCCACGACCUCCACCGCCCAGACUACGACCUCUGCUGGAACCUCCGCUGCAGAAGUUGCAGCCGCCACCACCAGGGCGCUGUCUGCGCCCCCCACGCCACCUGAGCCCGGUUCCCCCGAGACCCCGCUCACCACAGCCCCCACCGGAGCUCCACCAGGCGUAGCCACCGCCACGCUCAGACCCGUCGUCGUGCGGCCGGUCGCAGAGACGACGCGUCCGGUGACGGGCAGAGUGGAGGUGUCGACAGGAGCCACAACCGUCUCGCCGCCUCCGUCCUGGUCGCCGCUGCACACGACCACACUGGCGUCUCCGGGGACGACGACUUUCCCGGAAAGGGUCACCACCCGCUUGGUGUCCACCUCCAGAGCUCCACCCGCCGCCACGGCUACAACCACCACACGGACAGCGACCCCCAGGACGACACCCAGAGCUCCUGUGACGACGCGGGUCACGCCGAGGAUCACGAUGGCCGAGAGGUCAACCGCCAGGCCGCACACUGCGAGGGUCACCGUAGCCACAGGGCCCCCAACGGAGACCACGAGAUCGACCACUCUCGGCCCAACGACUGUCACACCAAGCCCCGGCACAACGACCACGUCAGGAGUGCCGUCUUCAACCGUCCCAGCGUCCCCUGAGUCGGUCACCACGGCGAGCUCGACCGAACGCGCCGAGACAACCGCAGCGGUUCCCGUGCCGACCUCCACGACCCCCGGGGCGCCCGUUCCCACUCUAACAACAGUCACAGCAUCCACCGCCGUCCCCACGACAACCAGCAGAGAGCCAGCCACAUCUGACGAAACUCUGACGACCAAAGAGCCUGGCGCGUCGCCGUCUCCGCCCCGGCCGGUGACGCCUCCACCCGACGUGCUCGUCUCCACCCGGGAGCCCGGGACUCCCGCUCCCGCUGCGACGUCACUUUCCACAACAGUCGCCACGCUCCAAACCUCCGAGCCGCGCGGAGAAGAUCGGACGAGUCCGGGUGCAGCAACGUCCCCUGCACCGACGACGACGACCAGACACUCAGCGGAGGGCACGACGUCCGUGGUCGUGUCCCCGACGAGGAUGUGCACUCCUCCGUACGCAGAGAUGGUCGACGAGUGCACAAAGUACAUCUGCGUCCACAACCAGCUGGUCCUGUUCAACAAAUCUCAGAUCUGCCCCUUCGCCUCCGAACCCCCGGACUGUGGCCUGCUCGGCCUCGCCGUACUGGUCGACGGAGACAAGUGCUGCCCUCAGUGGGACUGUCCAUGUCGCUGCUCGGUGUUUCCCGACCUGAGCGUGAUCACGUUCGACGGGAGCAGCGUCGCCGUCUACAAGGCCGCCUCCUACAUCGUGAGCCAGCUGCCCAACGAGACCGUCAGCGUCGUGGUUCAGGAGUGUCCCGCCGACGCCGAGUCGCCGCUCCUGUGGAACUUCACCAACCUUUGUCUGGUGGCGCUAAACAUCACGCACAAGACCAACCACAUCAUCGUCAACCGGCUGCAGAGGAGGCUCUACGUCAACUCCCGCUACGCCAAACCCCGGUUCAAAAAGUACGGCUUCGAGAUCUACGACACGGGCAACAUGUACCUGAUCCGCAGCCCAGCCGGCCUCAGGCUGCAGUGGUAUCACAGCACCGGCACGAUGGUGAUCGACACCGACGGCUCCGGCAACAAGCUCCCCACCAUGGGCCUCUGUGGUUUCUGUGACGGAGACCCGACCAACGACCUGACUCUGCCCAACGGCACCGCGGUGGGCGCCGGCGAGGACCCGGCCCUCUUCAUCGACAGCUGGCAGGUUCCCAACACCACCAGCUACGUCAGCCAGAGCCGCCGCCGCGAGCUCAACUGCUCCACCGGCGACUGCUCCGUCUGCAUGGCCAUGCUGCAGACCGGCCACUUCGCCCCCUGCCACGCCUUCGUCCCGCCCAGCACAUUCUGUGAGGUCUGGGUGCGGGAUGCGGAGUACGUCAACAACCAGUGCGUGGCGCUGGCCGCCUACGUGGCCUCCUGCCACAAGUUCAACGUCUGCGUCGAGUGGCGCAGACCAGAUCACUGCCCCUUCGCGUGUCCCGACGCUCUGCGGUAUCAGGCCUGUGUGUCGGCCUGCACGUCGCAGUCCUGCCCCGACCACGACGUGGACUCGGACCCGGACCGGUGCUCGGGCCUGACGGAGGGCUGCGUGUGUCCCGAGGGGACGCUCCUCCACCGGCCCUACUCCGCGCUCUGCGUCUCCCCCGACAAGUGCGCCUGCACCGACAGCUCCGGCGCCCCCCGUGCGCACGGCGACGUGUGGAAGGCCUCGAAGGACGCCUGCUGCAUGUACCGCUGCGACAACGACACCAUCGUGCCCGUGGAGUACAACUGCUCCGGCGCGGCGGCGGCGCCCGCGUGCCGCCGGGCGGGGGAGGUGGUCAUCGGCCUGGCCGACGACACCAGCUGCUGCCCGCAGAAAGUCUGCGUGUGUAACCAGAGCCUGUGUGACCUGCCGCCUCCUGAGUGUAAAUACGGGGAGAAGCUGGUUUCGUACUACAGGCGAGACUCCUGCUGUCCGCACUACGUGUGUGAGUGUGACCCUGACCUCUGCGAGUCGGACGUCCCGAGCUGCAGAGAGGACCAGACCCGGAUCGCCACCAGAGCCGACGACGGCAGCUGCUGCCUGGCCCACAUCUGCGUGUGCUCCUCCUCGUGUGCGGAGACGCUGCCGCUCUGCCAGGACGGCGAGGUGCUGACAGUCGACGGCAACGUCACCGACCGCUGCUGCCCCGCCUACCAGUGUGUGUGUGAGCCCUACAGGUGUCCCCAGCUCACUUGUCCCGUGGGCAUGUCGGUGCUGUCGGUGUCCGCUCCGGGUCGCUGCUGCCCCGACCAAUCGUGCGAGUGUUCCUGUGAGAAGAUUGCCUCCCCGAAAUGUGGCCUGGGUGAGGCCGCCCAGCUGGACCGGGCCUCCCUGUCCGACCCACAGAACCAGUGCGCCUGCAAAAGAUAUAAGUGUGUGCGCGAGGCGGUGUGUGUGUUCGGCGAGCGCGGCGUGCUGCGGCCAGGUCAGACUCUGGUGGAGCACGGCGACGACGGCCUGUGUCACAGCAGACAGUGCAGCCGCAGCCUCGACCCGGCGAGCGGCUUCCACCUGCUGCGCACGGCCAGCGUCAACUGCUCCGCCCACUGCCAACCGAAUCAGAUCUACGUUCCUCCGAGGGACCAGGCCACGUGUUGCGGCGUCUGUAAGAACAUCUCCUGCCUCCACGAGCACGACAACGGGACGGUGGCUCGCUACAAGCCGGGGAAGUCGUGGGUGUCCAACUGCGUGAAGUUCGACUGCACCGACACUCUGUCCGGACCCACACUCGUGUCCUACUCCUUCAGCUGCCCCCCCUUCAACGAGACCGAGUGUGUGAAGGUGGGCGGAACGGUCGUGAGUUACAUGGACGGAUGCUGCAGAACGUGUACCGGAGUCCCCCUGUUGCCUUUCCCCGUUAGCCCCCCGACUCCCGCAGUUAACACAAACUGUGAAAGAGGUACCGAGAGACAACAAGGCUCGCCAGUGCCAUUGUUGAUGUUCAACAAUGUACUCCCUCCAAAAAGAGAACGAGGAAAUGAGGACAGAACGCACACAGGAAACACACAGUCCUCUCAACUGUCGUCCCGCGUGAGCUCACGUUCAAAUUCUCAUCACGCCACAAAGACAGAACUGAUGAACGAAACAUUCGUAUUCGUACGACGAUGCAUUCCCCUCCUUCGUAACGACGUCAUCAAACGAUGUCAUCAAAGGAGGCGGGGCAUCCUGCACUUCACUUCGCACCCCCCCCAAAAAAAAAAAAAUUGACACUUGAGAGGACAGAAACAUAACCCCGCCCAUCUCCCCCUGGAUCAUGAUACUGUACAUGUACACGAGAGCGACACCCCCCCCCCCCCCCUCUUAGCACUGUCUGGGGCAGUGCAUUGUUGAUUGCCAACAAUGUGCUGUUGGUAGUGGCCCAGUAGUCGGGCUUAGACGUCUGCAUGUGUCAGUAGAUACUGAUGUGGGCUGGUGACGGGGGGAGGGAGGGGACGGGGUCUCUUCACCACACAUGUAGAUGCUGUAGAAGAUCUGCAUGCUGCUGCUGCACCACCACCACCACCACCAGGGGGAGCUGUGUGUGGAAACCUGAGGCUACAGUGUGAGGCAUUUUUAUCAUCGUCAGUACGAACCAACCGUCGUCUGUCAAUAAAGACGGUCGAUGACCGUACGUGAAGAUGGACGAGGCAGCUCCACUUUCUACUUUGUUGUAGAAAAAAUGAAGCCACAAUAUCCGGGAUGCGGGCGCCGCCAUCUUGAAACACAACGGCAAAAUCGAACAACCCAACGGCACACAAUGGUUUCUGAUUCGCCUUUGUGAUUUGCACUCCAGGGCCGCCGUACCUCCUUUAAUAAUUAAAACCAGACUUUUCUGAAACGUGAACACUUGAACUUCACUUGAACGUUACCUUGAAAAUAAUCCGUCACAAUUAAAAAAACAUCCAAAAUGUUGCUAAAGAAAAGAAGUAUGUUAGUAUAAUCAGGGUAAUGUACCUAAAGUAUUUGAGGUCAAACUUUAUCAGCAGUGACGGUUGAAUAUUGUUAUAUGUUCCAGUAAUUGAUCUUCUGUUUAAUUUUUAGAUUAAUAGAUUGAUUGUUAAAUCAGUAAGAAAAAAAUAGAGAGAAAUUUCUGUUAUUAUUUCGUCAAACCAUUAUUAAUUAUUAUUAAAAUUACUAAAAAAGUAUAGCAGGAAAUGAUCACAUCUGAGAAACUGGAAACAAUCGAAUGUUUGGUAUUUUUGGAUUAAAAAAAGGCUUAACACAGUCGGUCAAAUGAUUUGUAUUAAAUACACUCAAUAUAUUUAAUUGUAAACGAAUCAUAUUUAAUUGUGGCCACUGUAAAUCACAGAUGAACCGACCUGUUAGACCUCGGUUAGAGCAGGAAACGACUGACGGAACAUGAGCCACACAUCGCAGCUUCACGUUCAUGCUCUGCUGGGCUUUUUAUUUCAUGUCUGCUUUUUACUUUUUCAAAAAUGCCACAAAUGCCGUAGAUAUACGUUUGCACACGCGGACGUCACAUCCUGAUUGUGUGAAGCGUCUCUGCUGCGGCCAUUUUGAAGUGAAGCUUCAACCAUUUCUGGUAGAAAGUAAAAGAAGCGUUAAAAACCAGGCGACAGGAGAUAAUACAUGUAUUUGGAACAAACCGAACACACGGUCGGUUGUGAUGAAUUCAGCUUCACCUCCAACAAAAUGGCCGCUGCACUGACGCGUCGCUGCAAAAAGGAUCUGGAUCGGACGUGUGACUGUCACAGAGUGUGUCGGUUUCAUUCAUCCCGUCUGCAGCCGUUGGAUGUUCACGAUAGUAACUGCAUGAUGCUGCUCAUCAUCUCAGCUUCACUUGUCCUUCUCUCCCUCCCGCGAUCGGACUCGUCGUCCGUCAGCGUCUCAAACAGCUCGUGCAUGAUCCGACAGCCUGCGUUCCUCCCGCUGCUCUUCUUCGUGCCCCUCCUCUUCUGUCUCCCAGCGUUUGCCGUGUCCCCACAUUUAGUUCACGCAAACUUUGUUCCGACUGACUUGUGGUGUGAAAACAGGUAAAGAAGAUGGAAAGUCGUGUCAGAAGGUGACGGUGAGGAUGACGAUCAGGAAGAACGACUGUCGCAGCAACAGGCCGGUGAACAUCGUGUCGUGCGACGGGAAGUGUCCGUCCGCCAGCAUCUACAACUACAACAUCAACACGUAC